UAGUGAGGAAUAUUGCGCAAUGGGGGCAACCCUGACGCAGCGACGCCGCGUGGGUGAGGAAGGCUUUCGGGUCGUAAAACCCUGUCAGAAGGGAAGAAAUGCUUAUGGGUUAAUAUCUUGUAAGCUUGACGGUACCUUCAAAGGAAGCACCGGCUAACUCCGUGCCAGCAGCCGCGGUAAUACGGAGGGUGCAAGCGUUGUUCGGAAUCACUGGGCGUAAAGGGCGCGUAGGCGGCUUGGCAAGUCAGAUGUGAAAGCCCACGGCUUAACCGUGGAAGUGCAUUUGAAGCUGCUUGGCUUGAGUAUCAGAGGGGAAAGUGGAAUUCCCGGUGUAGAGGUGAAAUUCGUAGAUAUCGGGAGGAAUACCGGUGGCGAAGGCGACUUUCUGGCUGAAUACUGACGCUGAGGCGCGAAAGCGUGGGGAGCAAACAGGAUUAGAUACCCUGGUAGUCCACGCCGUAAACGAUGUCAACUAGGUGCAGGGGGUGUUGAUCCCCUCUGUGUCGCAGCUAACGCAUUAAGUUGACCGCCUGGGGAGUACGGUCGCAAGAUUAAAACUCAAAGGAAUUGACGG
rnacentral:rRNA from 1 species